rnacentral:rRNA from 1 species
GACGAACGCUGGCGGCGUGCUUAACACAUGCAAGUCGAACGGAAAGGCCCUGCUUUUGUGGGGUGCUCGAGUGGCGAACGGGUGAGUAACACGUGAGUAACCUGCCCUUGACUUUGGGAUAACUUCAGGAAACUGGGGCUAAUACCGGAUAGGAGCUCCUGCUGCAUGGUGGGGGUUGGAAAGUUUCGGCGGUAGGGGAUGGACUCGCGGCUUAUCAGCUUGUUGGUUGGGUAGUGGCUUACCAAGGCUUUGACGGGUAGCCUGCCUGAGAGGGUGGACGGUCACAUUGGGACUACGGUACGGCCCAGAGUCCUACGGGAGGCAGCAGUGGGGAAUAUUGCACAAUGGGAGGAAGCCUGAUGCAGCAACGCCGCGUGCGGGAUGACGGCCUUCGGGUUGUAAACCGCUUUCGCCUGUGACGAAGCGUGAGUGACGGUAAUGGGUAAAGAAGCACCGGCUAACUACGUG